rnacentral:rRNA from 1 species
GUUAGGAAUAUUGGGCAAUGGAGGAAACUCUGACCCAGCAACGCCGCGUGAAGGAUGAAGGUUUUCGGAUUGUAAACUUCUGUUCUAUGGGAAAAAACAAAUGAUGGUACCAUAGGAGAAAGCCACGGCUAACUACGUGCCAGCAGCCGCGGUAAUACGUAGGUGGCAAGCGUUGUUCGGAAUGACUGGGCGUAAAGGGAGCGUAGGUUGUUUUUGAAGUUAAAUGUGAAAGCCCGGGGCUUAACACCGGAAUGCCAUUUAAUACUGGAAGACUAGAGUGCAGGAGGGGUGAGAGGAAUUCCUAGUGUAGCGGUGGAAUGCGAAGAUAUUAGGAAGAACACCAGAGGCGAAGGCGGCUCACUGGACUGUUACUGACACUGAGGCUCGAAAGCGUGGGGAGCAAACAGGAUUAGAUACCCGUGUAGUCC